CCCCGACUAGUUCUGUUGGUUGAGCAUGAGACUCUAAUCUCAGGGUAGUGGGUUCGCGUCCCUUGUCGGGUG
rnacentral:tRNA from 1 species